GACGAACGCUGGCGGCGUGCUUAACACAUGCAAGUCGAACGAAGAGCGAUGGAAGCUUGCUUCUAUCAAUCUUAGUGGCGAACGGGUGAGUAACGCGUAAUCAACCUUCCCUUCAGAGGUGGACAACAGUUGGAAACGACUGCUAAUACCGCAUACGAUCUAAUCUCGGCAUCGAGGAUAGAUGAAAGGUGGCCUCUACAUGUAAGCUAUCACUUAAGGAGGGGAGUGCGUCUGAUUAGCUAGUUGGCGGGGUAACGGCCCACCAAGGCGAUGAUCAGUAGCCGGUCUGAGAGGAUGAACGGCCACAUUGGGAGGGAGACACGGCCCAGACUCCUACAGGAGGCAGCAGGGGGGAAUCUUCCGCAAUGGACGAAAGACUGACGGAGCAACGCCGCGGGAGUGAUGACGGCCGUCGGGUUGUAAAGCUCUGUUAAUCGGGACGAAAGGCCUUCUGGCGAAUAGUGAGAAGGAUUGACGGUACCGGAAUAGAAAGCCACGGCUAACUACGUG
rnacentral:rRNA from 1 species